CUCCCACCCCUAGCCGCCCAAACCAGCCCUCUUCUUUCCUCCUUCUCCUACACGAUAGAACAGCAGGCGUCAGCUUCUUCCUCCCUGGUUCCCCACGGCGGCCAGCAGGGAGCAAGCCAGCAGCCAUGGCGUCCAUCCCUCCUCCCUCAACACUGGCCCACAGGCGCCCAGGCAAGCUUUCCCCGUGGCGCUCGCUCCCUAUAGGCGAGCAGCAGCACCCCCUUCUCAGCGCAGGGAGCAGCAGCUCCUUUCCUCCAUGGCCAUGGCGCCCCCUUUUUCUCUUCCCUGCCGCGGCCAGGAAACGCCUAGGCCCUCGCCUCUCUGUUCCACGCGCCAUUUCUACCUCUCCAGCGAGCUGCUCUCCGGAUCGUCGCUUCCCCUGCUACCUGUGGCCUCGCCCAGAUCCGGCCAUGGCCGCUCCCAUCGACAACCGAGCUCAUUUUCUGUAGCCGGCCAUUCGCUUUGCCCCCAUGGUCAUGUGCAGCGAGCUCUAUUUCCCAGCGCUCUCGCUUGCUCGACGGAAUGCCGCAACGCGAAGCAACCAUGGGAUCCCAUCCGUGUCGCUUGCGCCGACCCGGAACUGCGCAGUGCCCAGUCGGUGCUUGCUAUGUGCUCAAUAAAAUGCGCAGCAAGCCACGCGUCGUCGAUUUCCUACAGCAGCCCCGGCAUCUCCGCGCACUGCCGGCUCGCUGUUUUAUAAAGCGCAGUGAACAGCACGCCGUCGACACUCGCCGGGUGUUUGCUGUUUUUGCGCAACCCCAUCCGCGACGCCGUCGGAACCCGUGCUAGCUGUCAAUGCCAUUCGUCGCGCACGCGUGUUCGAUACAAGACCGGUCGGGUGAACCACGUGCUUGCACAACCCAAAUCCGAUCCCGUUCAGGACCGAGAGAUGACGAUCGUGCAAGUGAUGUGGUGCCAACAACAAGAUGCAGUUGGUGGACGACCUGAAGGAUGGACUUAACCAGUGGAUGCUCGCCGAGCGAGUACCCUCCCCCAACAAACACUAUCAAAGUGUCAAAUUAAAGGUACCUCCUUGCUUUAGUUGAUGGUGUGACUUGGCCUUCGUCCCUACCACCGGGACAGACGGUCGAGUGGGUUAUUGCUUCCGCAGGAGAGGACCAGGAGGAGUAGCGUGGCCAGGCUUCGCCAUGUUACUCGGUUUUCUCCGUUAGUUAUUUCCGCUGCAUUAAAAUUUAUGGUUAUUAUUUCUGAAACUCCGAUAAUGUAAUCACUGAUUAUACUUAUUAAAUUUGUGGCAUUAUGUUUU